rnacentral:lncRNA from 1 species
GUUUAAUCCGCGCUUCGUUCCUGCGUAGCUCUCGUCUCUCUGUGUACAUAAAACAAUAUAACACCAUACACACGCAACGUCUCGUGACGAUGAAUCACGCGGCUCGCGGGCGCAGUUUUUUCGCCCAUACUCUCGUCGACGCAUACCUCUACUCACUUUUGUAUAAUGAUGCCUUACUUUGUAUGCAUAUACUAUCCGCGUUGCAGUUAACUUAGUAUGGUAAAAUUUCUCCUGCCUUGCGUUUAAAUCCUCUUACCAGGCGACGUCUCGUGAUCAUACUAUAGGGUAAAGAGAAAGAGAGGGAGAGAGAAAUGUGCGAGAUCCCGUGACUUGAGUGGGGAUGACGAUGGUUUCGAGCAAGAGGUGAACGAUUCCUUGCGGACGACAGCGACAACUACGAGAGAGAUGAUUACCAUCAGGCGCAUGAUACGUACGCAUGUGGAUUCUCAACAACCGGCCAAACCCAAGUUAGAUCAUCGGCGCCUCACACGCGACGACGAGUUUUGCAGUAGUGCCAGGUUGAGAGAAUGCCUUAUGCAAUGGCGACUGUGUGCUCAUAGGUGUGUGCUGGAGGAAAACGACCCAGGUGAGAUCGAUAAAGGCUGCUUGGGCCGUUAUCCUCGCAUAGAGGUUCGCGUGGAGACGUACAGGGUUUUUGCUUUAUCGACACACCGCUAUAGCUGUAUAUCUAUAGUAAAUGAAUGAGCGAAAAUAACGUUAUAUAUCAGCAGUUGUUUAAUUUAGAAAAUAAAUUACUUUCGCUGAUUCUCUAGCGCUUCUUUAUGAAUCAACUCGAGUAGUGUUCCUUCUUGCUCACACUUCCGUAAAAACCAAAGAUAAAUUUAUUGGUAUAUCACUUUGAUACGAAAUGUCAGAUUACGUAUAUGUGGAUCUACUCUAAAAACUAUACAACAAAAACGAAGUCUUACAAAUUUUGGAUCAAUUACAUUUAUUAAUUGAUAAAGAAAUAAAAAACAAAAUCUAAAAACUGUUAAUUAUAUAACUCAAACUGCAGCUACUUUACUUCCUAAAACAUUAAUGAUUUUUUACAAUAAAACAAAAUGAGCAUAUAAAUGCUGUUUGAAGUCGACUAAAGUUGUGGUGAAAGCAACUUUGGAUUAGUGCACAAAUAAUAUAAAUUUUUUAUAUACAGUUGAAAGAAUUUAUGUUGCAAUUUUGAUAGAAAGUAAAUUCUACUCGCGCGGGAAGAAUCAAAUUGAGAAAAAGCAAAAAUAUAACUUCCGAUUGUCACAUAGUAUUUUACGACGGUCAAACAGAUAUCGGUUACAAUAAAUUUAUAUACCGCAUCGGCGUCAACUGAUUAUCAUAAUCAACGUCAUAGUGGUAAAAGGAUCGAUUUCAAUGCACGACCGCAUUUGCUUCUCAGUUUCACGCUGCUGGAACGCCUAUUAUAGAAGCGACAUAGAAUUGAACGAUGUCUUUGUUACAUUCAUUGAGAAGGACAAUACAAAAAGCUAGUAAUUUCUGGCAGAUGAUAGACAUUGACAUAGAACUUUUUUUACAAAUAUUCACACAAAAAGUACACAUAUAUUGUUAUCUUGGUUUAAAUACAACUUAGUAAAUAUGUGAUGGUUUAAGAAUCGACAAUGUGAACCAAAAAUAAAAGAAAUUAUAUGUAUAGAAUCUAAACCAUCAUAAUGAAUGAGCAUUGGAAGAUCAUACCAUCUGAUUCGAUGAGAUUGAAAACAUUUUGCAACAAACAAUCUUUAAAAAUUAAAAAACAAACCAUUAAUACAAAAUCAAACAAAAUAUUUGACAACGUAAUACAGUUUACUAGCAUAGUAUUGCUCUCUACUAAAUAAAAUAUAAAAAAAACAAGUGAGCACCCACAAUGUAAAGUAAGUAUAUACGCCUCAGUAUAUAAUAACGCUGUAGCGUACAGAAUACGUAAAGCGAAUUGAGACACAUCGCGCGUAUAGGACGCCGACGCUGGCGAUGUGCACACAGGCAUCACGUAUUGCGCGCUUAUCGAUUCACGCAAGCUAACUGUUUCAGAAAAUCCUUCGGCUGAUAGGCAAGUGGCUGCUUGCUCUGUGCAGAUUGCUCGCCGGCGUCAGCUCGAGGCUUUGUCUCAAUGUUGCGGGGAUAAAACAGCCCUUGCGAAGGCUCUCUUGAGCACAUAUGCGAAAUUGCACAGGCUGCAUGCGCGCGUGAAGCGUAUACAAUAUACAUACGUGCAAGUGUUUUCGAUAAACCAAAGGAUUUGGCUUUAAUCUAUAUUACCUACACAGUGUUUUAACGUUAUUGAAUUUUGACAGCUAAUUAAAAUUCAGUAUGGUUACAAAACAGUAGGUUAUUAUAUGCAUAGUCGUUAUUUCCUCUAAUAAUCGUGAAAAUAAAUAUUAUCAAAAUAUAAGAUCAUUGAUCCGUGAAUUGCUCAUUCGCAGGUGAUAUUCUUAAUUCAAAUGUAAAAAAGUUGCAAAGAAGUAAAGACCUUGCACUUAGUUGAAGGUUAAACCAAGAAAGCUUGACGUCUAUCAAAAUAAGGUUAGUGUACAUUUUUGGAGGGAAAACGAUUAAUAUUGCAUUGCUUACCAUGUUGAAGCGUUUACACUUCAGUGAAAACGUUUGAUAACACCAGUAGAAGUCAUGUACACAAGGAAUCCCACUAUAUUCAUAUUUAUUGUACUAGUAUAUCUAUAAUUUUUAAACCCGUAAAAAUAUAUACAUACAAUUUUAACAAUUA